UACGUAGGGUGCGAGCGUUGUCCGGAAUUAUUGGGCGUAAAGGGCUCGUAGGCGGUUUGUCGCGUCGGGAGUGAAAACCAGGUGCUUAACACCUGGCUUGCUUUCGAUACGGGCAGACUAGAGGUAUGCAGGGGAGACUGGAAUUCCUGGUGUAGCGGUGAAAUGCGCAGAUAUCAGGAGGAACACCGGUGGCGAAGGCGGGUCUCUGGGCCGUAACUGACGCUGAGGAGCGAAAGCAUGGGGAGCGAACAGG
rnacentral:rRNA from 1 species